UGGGGAAUUUUGGACAAUGGGCGCAAGCCUGAUCCAGCAAUGCCGCGUGCGGGAAGAAGGCCUUCGGGUUGUAAACCGCUUUUGUCAGGGAAGAAACGAGUUUCUCUAAUACAGAGACUUAAUGACGGUACCUGAAGAAUAAGCACCGGCUAACUACGUGCCAGCAGCCGCGGUAAUACGUAGGGUGCAAGCGUUAAUCGGAAUUACUGGGCGUAAAGCGUGCGUAGGUGGUGGUUUAAGUCUGCUGUGAAAGCCCUGGGCUCAACCUGGGAAUUGCCUUUGUGACUGCAUAGCUAGAGUACGGUAGAGGGGGAUGGAAUUCCGCGUGUAGCAGUGAAAUGCGUAGAUAUGCGGAGGAACACCGAUGGCGAAGGCAAUCCCCUGGACCUGUACUGACGCUCAUGCACGAAAGCGUGGGGAGCAAACA
rnacentral:rRNA from 1 species